rnacentral:rRNA from 1 species
UACGGGGGGGGCGGAACGUUGUUCGGAAUUACUGGGCGUAAAGGGCUCGUAGGUGGCCAACUAAGUCAGACGUGAAAUCCCUCAGCUUAACUGGGGAACUGCGUCUGAUACUGGAUGGCUUGAGUUUGGGAGAGGGAUGCGGAAUUCCAGGUGUAGCGGUGAAAUGCGUAGAUAUCUGGAGGAACACCGGUGGCGAAGGCGGCGAUCCUGGACCAAUACUGACACUGAGGAGCGAAAGCCAGGGAGCAAACGGG